AUCUCUAAACUCUAAGUUUGGUAUAGUAUAGGUUAAUUCACUUUAAUAAUAAAACUAACGACACACAGACUGCCUUAAACCGAACGAAAAUUUACCAUGUCGCGUUUACGCAAGACGAAGACGGAGAUGCGGGCGUGGCGUUUCCUUCAGAGGUCGCGAUACCCGCAUUUACAGUCCUAAACAAUGGGUAACAUUUAUUAUU